rnacentral:rRNA from 1 species
UACAGAGGGGGCAAGCGUUGUUCGGAAUUACUGGGCGUAAAGGGCGCGUAGGCGGCCUCUUAAGUCGAACGUGAAAUCCCCGGGCUCAACCCGGGAACUGCGUCCGAUACUGGGGGGCUUGAAUCCGGGAGAGGGAUGUGGAAUUCCAGGUGUAGCGGUGAAAUGCGUAGAUAUCUGGAGGAACACCGGUGGCGAAGGCGGCAUCCUGGACCGGUAUUGACGCUGAGGAGCGAAAGCAUGGGGAGCGAACAGG